GCCCUGGUAGCUCAAUUGGUUAGAGCGUCGGACUUUUAUUGGCUUCAGCCUCUCAGAAGUUCAUCCGAAGGCUGCGGGUUCGACCCCCGCCUGGGGCG